rnacentral:rRNA from 1 species
UGCUCGAGUGGCGAACGGGUGAGUAACACGUGGGUGAUCUGCCCUGCACUUCGGGAUAAGCUUGGGAAACUGGGUCUAAUACCGGAUAGGACUGCACUUUAGUGUGUGUGGUGGAAAGUUUUUUCGGUGUAGGAUGAGCUCGCGGCCUAUCAGCUUGUUGGUGGGGUAAUGGCCUACCAAGGCUUUGACGGGUAGCCGGCCUGAGAGG